CGUACAAGGAUAGCUUACAAGUUGAACAACAGAGAUGUUCUGGAGGAGGGGCAGAUUAACAACUUCCCUCGUGAUUUAUGAGGUUUAUUUGUCCAUGAAGUUGUUAAUGAUUUUAAUGCCCAAGCUCUUAUUAUUCUUGUCUGAGAAGAAGUUUUCAUGCAUAGGUUCUUGUUUUUUAUCAGUGAGAAGCUUCUUCUUGCCGUUUCUAGUGACACAGCAAAUCUUUUGUUUUCAAUUCUUCUAUCUGGAGGCACUGUUGGCUUGUAGCAAUGGGUAUGAGAUUUUGCUUGAGUUUGCAAUAUGUUGAAUGGUGUAACCCG
rnacentral:lncRNA from 1 species